rnacentral:tRNA from 3 species
AGGCUCGUAGCUCAACCUGGUAGAGCAACGGACUCUUAAUCCGUGAGCUGGGGGUUCGAAUCCCCCCGGGCCUACCA